GAACUGCUGAUGAGACCCAAAUAAUUCGAAACAGCUGUCCAGUGC
rnacentral:hammerhead_ribozyme from 1 species